AGGGGUGGCUUUCAUUUCUAGGAUCAUCCACCGAUCAUUCCUAGGCCUGCAGAGAUCCAGGACUGGGAAUGAAAGAGACCACGGCCUAACUGGUCCCCAGGGCUGGCUGGGGGAUCCUCAGUCAUGGCUCAGGUGACCAUGAGACCAUCCCAGGAACAGGCCCUGGCUUCUCCUCCAGAAGCAGCUCCAGGACAGACAUGUGUUCUCUUAGGUGGAUUAGUCUGAGCUGAGGUACCUUCCUCACAGCAUGUAUCAAGUAUCGUGUAGCAAGUCAAGUGUCAAGGCAACACAUGCUCAUUCAUUCAGUCAACACCUGUUAUGUGCCGGGCACCAUGCUUGGCUCUGCAGGUUAGCCGUGAAUGAUGCAAACAAAGGCCUGCUCUGGUGGAGUUUACAGACGAGAAGGGGAAGACACAACAAAACCAUAAACAAAUCAGUAUAGAACCUAACCGAGUCAAUGGUGACAGGAAGAAAGAUGAAGGGAGAUAAGGGGAGGGUGGUUGGAGUGGAAAGGUAAGCUAGUUCUGUACCUGCGGUGGGGAAAUCUCUGGAGAGAAGAGGCCUGAGGGAAAGGAAUGGGACUGGCAGAUCUAGGGGGAGGGAACAGCAGGUACGAUAUUCUGUGGCCAGAAGGAGGAGCUUGAGGCAUGACAAGGACGUCAGCAUGGCUCUGUGUUGGGAAGGAGAGUGUGGCAGCAGGUGGGGGUGCAAAAGAAGGCAGGGCUGCAUCUCUGCAGCCCACAGAAUCCCAGUUUUUCUAUGUCUGACAGGAGGCCACGGACUGAUUUGGGAGACACAUGGAGCACGGGAUUUGAAAGCUGCCAACUAUCAGAAAAGUGGACCAGGAGGAUUCGAUCCUGGAAUGGAGACAGGUGUGAGGAAAAAGAGGAGGCAAGAAGCCAAGAAGGAAAACGCUAGGGGGGAGGGCAACUCUCCCACCUGCAGUAUCUGCAUCUGA
rnacentral:lncRNA from 1 species